GAUGAACGCUGGCGGCGUGCCUAAUACAUGCAAGUCGAGCGAACAGACGAGGAGCUUGCUCCUCUGACGUUAGCAGCGGACGGGUGAGUAACACGUGGAUAACCUACCUAUAAGACUGGGAUAACUUCGGGAAACCGGAGCUAAUACCGGAUAAUAUAUUGAACCGCAUGGUUCAAUAGUGAAAGACGGUUUUGCUGUCACUUAUAGAUGGAUCCGCGCCGCAUUAGCUAGUUGGUAAGGUAACGGCUUACCAAGGCAACGAUGCGUAGCCGACCUGAGAGGGGGAUCGACCACACUGAAACUGAGACACGGUCCAGACUCCGAGGGGAGGCAGAAGUAGGGAAUCUUCCGCGAUGGGCGAAAGCCUGACGGAGCAACGCCGCGUGAGUGAUGAAGGUCUUCGGAUCGUAAAACUCUGUUAUUAGGGAAGAACAAAUGUGUAAGUAACUAUGCACGUCUUGACGGUACCUAAUCAGAAAGCCACGGCUAACUACGUG
rnacentral:rRNA from 1 species